rnacentral:rRNA from 1 species
UGAUGCCCAGCUUGCUGGGUGGAUUAGUGGCGAACGGGUGAGUAACACGUGAGUAACCUGCCCUUGACUUCGGGAUAACUCCGGGAAACCGGGGCUAAUACCGGAUAUGAGCCGCCUUCGCAUGGGGGUGGUUGGAAAGUUUUUCGGUCAGGGAUGGGCUCGCGGCCUAUCAGCUUGUUGGUGGGGUGAUGGCCUACCAAGGCGACGACGGGUAGCCGGCCUGAGAGGGCGACCGGCCACACUGGGACUGAGACACGGCCCAGACUCCUACGGGAGGCAGCAGUGGGGAAUAUUGCACAAUGGGCGAAAGCCUGAUGCAGCGACGCCGCGUGAGGGAUGAAGGCCUUCGGGUUGUAAACCUCUUUCAGCAGGGAAGAAGCGCAAGUGACGGUACCUGCAGAAGAAGCGCCGGCUAACUACGUGCCAGCAGCCGCGGUAAUACGUAGGGCGCAAGCGUUGUCCGGAAUUAUUGGGCGUAAAGAGCUCGUAGGCGGUUUGUCGCGUCUGGUGUGAAAACUCGAGGCUCAACUUCGAGCUUGCAUCGGGUACGGGCAGACUAGAGUGCGGUAGGGGAGACUGGAAUUCCUGGUGUAGCGGUGGAAUGCGCAGAUAUCAGGAGGAACACCGAUGGCGAAGGCAGGUCUCUGGGCCGCAACUGACGCUGAGGAGCGAAAGCAUGGGGAGCGAACAGGAUUAGAUACCCUGGUAGUCCAUGCCGUAAACGUUGGGCACUAGGU